UUUAUAAAAUGAGGAAACUAAGUCACAGAGGUUAAGUGACUUGCCUAAGAUAAAAGAGGGCCAAACCAGGAGUAGAAACAACAUCAUUUACUCACACGGAUUCUAUACCCAAUCCUGAGCCAUGUGAUCUGCUUCCUUCUGGCCUCCAUGUCACAUGGAUUCAGGAAGAAAUCUGAGUUCUAAUACUAAUAUUGGAGAUGCAGGGAGAACUUCUUUAUUCACAGGUCCCAUGCAUCAUUGGAAUGGUUACUAUGGAGCUGUCCUGGGAUACUCUUCUAUAGCAAUAGUGAAGACAGAUAUUGCAUUGUUUUACAAAUGGAACCUGCGAGUCUACGGAUGCCAUCUUUUUAACAGUAUGUGUUCACUUUGUGCCUUUGUGUCACAUUUUGCAAAUUCCACAAUAUUGUAAACUUUUUCAUUAUUAUUAUAUCUGUUAUAGUGACCUGUGAUCCUUGACAUUACUAUUGUCAUUGUUUGGGGGCAACACAAACUGUGCCCAUUUAAGAUGGUGAACUGAAUUCAUAAAUGUUUUCUGUUCUGACAGUUCCACCGACUGAAUAUUACCCACCUCUCUUCCCUUCCUUUGGCCUCCCUAUGCCCUGGACACAACUAUAUUGAAAAUAGGCCAAUUAAUAAACUUGCAAAGCCUUCUAAGUGUGCAAGUGAAAGAAAGAGCUGCAUAUCUCUCACUUGAAAUCAAAAGCUAUAGAUAUAAUGAACUUUAGUGAGGAAAAGCUUGUUAAAAGUCAAGAUAGGGUGAAAGCUAGGCCUCUUGCGCCAAACAGCCAAAUUGUGAAUGUAAAGACAAAGUUCUUGAAGGAAAUUAAAAGUUUGACUCCAGUGAACACACAAAUGUUAAAGCAGAACAGACUUAUUGCUAAUAUGAAGAAAGUUUGAGUGGUCUGGAUAGAAGAUCAAAGCAGCCACAAUAUUCCCUUAAGCCAAAGUCUAAUCCAGAGCAAAACCCUAACUCUCUUCAAUUCUAUGAUGACUGAGAUAGGUGAGGAAGCUGGAAAAUAAAAGUUUGGAGCUGGCAGAGAUAGUUUCACAAGGUUUAGAAAAGAAGCAAUCUUCAUAACAUAAAAGUGGACAGUAAAGCAGCAAGUGCUAAUGUAGAAGAUGCAGUGAAGUGUCCAGAAGACAAAACAGCCUUCUACUGGAAGAAGAUACUGUCUAGGACUUUCUAGCUAGAGCGGAGAAGUCAAUGGUUGGCUUCAAAGCUUCAAAGAAUAGGCUGAUUCUCUUGUUAGGGUAUAAUGCAGCUGUUGACUGAAGCCAGUGCUCAUUUACCAUUCCGAAAAUCCUAGGGCCCUUAAGAGCUAUGCUAAAUCUACUCUGCCUAUGCUCAAUCGAUGGUACAACAAAGCUAAGAUGACAGCACAUCUGUUUACUGCACGGUGUACUGAAUAUUUUAAGCCCACUAUUGAGAACUGCUGCUCAGAACAAGAGUUUUCUUUCAUUUUUAAAAAUACUACUGUUCAUUUACAGUGGGCCUGGUCACCUAAGAGCUCUGAUGGAGAGAUACGAAGAGAUGUUUCCAUGUGGGCUAACACUACAUCCAUUCUACGGCCCAUGGAUCAAGGACAAUUUUUGACUUUCAAGUCAUAUUAUUUAAAAAAUACAUUUUGUUAGGCUGUAGCUGCCAUAGAUAGUGAUUUCUCUGAUGGAUCUGGGUGAAGUAUGUUGAAAUCUUUCUGGAAAGAAUUUACCAUUGUAGAUAUCAUUAAUAACAUUUGUGAUUCAUGAGGACAGGUCAAAGUAUCAACAUGAACCAGUUUUUGGACACAGCUGAUUCCAGCUUUCAUGGAUGACUUUGAAAGUUUCAAUAUUUUAGUGGAGGAAGUCACUGCAGAUGGGGUAGAAAUAGCAAAAGAAUUAGAAUUGGACGUGGAGCCUGAAGAUAUAAUUGAAUUGCUGUAAUCUCAUGAUAAAAACUAAUACAGAUGAGGAAUUACUUCUGAUGGAUGAGCAAAGAUGUGACUUUUUUUUUUAAAUUUUUUUAGACAGAAUCUACUCCUGGUGAAGAUGCUGUGAAGAUUGUUAAAAUGACUACAAAGGAUUUAGAUGAUUAGUUAAACUUAGUUGCUGAAGCUGCAGUAGGUUUUUGAAAUGACUGACUCCAAUUGUGAAAGAAGUUCUAUGAGUAAAAUGCUAUCAAACAGCAUCAGAUGCUACAAAGAAAAUUUUUUUGUGAAAGGAAGAGUCAAUGAAUGCACCAAACUUCAAUGUUGUAUUAUGUGAAAAAAUUGCCACAGCGACCCCAAAAGUCAGCCACAACCACUCUGAUAAAUCAGCAGCCAUCAACAUAGAGACAAGGCCCUUCACCAGCAAAACGAUCACAGCUCACUGAAGGUUCAGGUUAUUGUUUGCAAUUUUUAGCAACAAAUCCUUUUUAGUUAAGAUAUGUACAUUGCUUUUGAUAUGUACAUUGCUUUUUAGAAACAGUGCUAUCACAUACUUAAUGGACUACAGUAUAGUAUAAAUAUAACUUUUAUAUGCACUGGGAAAUGAAAAAGUUUGUGUAACUUGCUUUAUUGUGAUAUUUGCUUUAUUGCAGUGGUCUGGAACUGAACCUACAAUAUUUCUGAGGUAUUCCUGUAAAAGCACAAUUCCAGGAUUCUUGUGGUGAUGGAAAUUUUCUGUAUUUUGUCUAUGGUUGUGGAUACACAGACCUGUAUGUGUGGUAAAACUGUAUAGAACUAAAUAAACACACAAAUACACACACGCACACACACACACACAAGUAAGUACAUGUAAAUCUUUGGAAAUCAGCGUAAGAUCAGUGGAUAAUGAAACACAUGUCAAAAUCCUGCAAUAUUUGCAUUACAGUUUGAAAGAUGUUUCCAUUGGGGGAAAAUGGGUAGAUGGUACAUGAGAUAUGCUUGUGUUAUUUCUUACAAUUGAAUAUGAAUCUAUGAUAAUCUAAAAAACCUUUUUUUCUAAUUUCAUAUUUGGUACUUCUAACUUUAGAAAGAUGACUUAGUAUAGUUUCAUGUUUUUGAGAUAGAUAAGACAUUUUCAUCCAGAAAUUUCAAAUAUCAGCAACUGAGGUCUAAAGAGAUGAAGGGCCUGACUUGCAGUCACUCCACAGCAGCUAUGAAAAAAAUAUCAGUUUCCUGCCUUCCCCCAAAGUACAGGGCAUUUUGCAUUCCGAAUGCCGAAACAGCACAGUGAGUUGUCUGCUGGGUGUGAUUAAACCUCUCAAAGUACAUUGGUGCCCUGAAAGCAUGUCAAUGUGGAUCACACUUCGUUUCCAGAGAGGUAACCUGGCUCUUUAUGUGCAGCCUCAGGAAAAGGUUUUCUUAAAAAAAAAAAAAAAAGAAA